ACCUUCAGGAGGUUAUUAUAGUUCUUAUUAGGUGUUCUAUGAGGAAGAAGUUUCUGGAUGGUACUAUAUGUGGUACAAUCUGUGGAUCUCAUAAUUAUGUGCCCAGCAAGCACUCUUUAAAUAAGUUAAUAUUCAAGUAAUAGGAUCAGAAACUGGUUGGAUAACAUCUUUUAGGUGAGUUAUCUUUCCAUUUUUUUAAGCUUUUGUUUACUAAAUGCUCUCUUGUGGGUAUUAAUGUAUAAUUAAAAUAUUCUCACACUUUGUGCCUAAUG
rnacentral:lncRNA from 10 species